rnacentral:lncRNA from 1 species
GAAUUUCAGUAAGAAAGAGGCGAGAUGCAAAAUAAAAAUCCAAGUGUAUGCCCAUAGAGCUCAGCUCGAAUUGAAAAUAUUAAUUUGAUUCAGCAGAAGCCAUAUUUCUAUUGAUGGCAUUUAAGUCACCACAUAAGUGUGUUUGAAGAACUAGAAGUUGGACGCCGGUACUUCACACUUAUAUAUUGGAAUUGGACCCGAAACCCACAAACCUUUUUGUUAUCUGCUUUCUCUUCUUGUCACCUUUCCACCAUGUUAUCACAUUACUUUUCCUUUUUUCACUUUCUCUAUUCC